rnacentral:rRNA from 1 species
GACGAACGCUGGCGGCGUGCUUAACACAUGCAAGUCGAACGGAAAGGCCCUGCUUUUGUGGGGUGCUCGAGUGGCGAACGGGUGAGUAACACGUGAGUAACCUGCCCUUGACUUUGGGAUAACUUCAGGAAACUGGGGCUAAUACCGGAUAGGAGCUCCUGCUGCAUGGUGGGGGUUGGAAAGUUUCGGCGGUUGGGGAUGGACUCGCGGCUUAUCAGCUUGUUGGUGGGGUAGUGGCUUACCAAGGCUUUGACGGGUAGCCGGCCUGAGAGGGUGACCGGGCAUAAUGGGGAAAGGUAUGCGGCCCGGCUCCCGGGGGGGGGCGGAGGGGGGAAAUGUGGACAAGGGGGGGGAGCCGUGACGCAGCACCCCCGGGGGGGGAAUGAGGCAUUGGGGUUGUAACCCCCGUUCCCCCGGAGAGGAGGGGGGGGGGAGGGUAAGGGGUAAAGAGACCCCGCAAAACACGGUG